rnacentral:lncRNA from 1 species
CCCCAGUCUUGUGGAUCUCCUGCACUAAAGCCCUGCUGGCCUUCAGGGCCAAAUUCUUUGAGGAUUCCUACUCCUAAUGCCAGACCCUCAGGCCAGGGAGCCUGAGGUGAACCUGAGGACUCUUACUCUUAUGGGAAGACCUCUGCAAUGUAAUUAUUUUUCAGUUGUGCAUCACCCACCUAACGUUAUUUGACUGUGUCAUGAAAGCACGCCUCCUGUUUUCUCGUUGUGGCUUCUUUGUCUUGAAUGUAGGAUAUCUUUUGUCAUAAUUUCCAGUCUCUUUUAUCAGUGGUUUUCAGCAGUUAGCUGUGGUUUCGGUGUUUCCAGGAGAGGUAGUGAGCUCAAGUCCUACUCUGCUCCUUUGUUUUGUUGUUGUUUUGUUUGUUUCAUAGCACAAGAGUAUAAACAUAUUUAAUACCACUGAACUGUACCCUUAAAAAUGUUCAAGGUGAUAAAUACUCUUGUUUUAUUUGUUUUAUCACAGCAAAAAAUUAGAAAAAAUGAACAAGUAUCUGGUAUACAAAGAAACAUGAAUAAUUUUCACAAACCUAUUAUACAGUAAAGAUGCAAGAUAUCAGUAGCACAUACCUUAAUAUUCCAAUUAUGUAAUGAUCAAAUUAGACAAUAUGUUGUAUUUAAGAAAUCUUGUUUUGGUAGGAAAACAAGAAAGAGAUGUAAGGAAGUGGUUACUAUAACAUUCUUGUUCUCUCUCAGGUGGAAAGAGAGUAGUUUGGAAGGGGCAUGACAGUAUCUUCACGGAUGCUGUCUGUGUUGCUUUAUUUUUUUUUUUUUUUUUCUUUAAUGUUGAGUUGCCAAAAGCUAAACCAGAAGUUGCAUGGAAAGGUUUUUAAAAAGUAUUAUUUAGAAUCUCCAAAUCUCCAGUAAAUCACGGUCUUAGUGCAUUUUGAAUUGCAACAUUUCUUGGAAGCCGCACUUAGUAAAUAGAUUUAUGACUCCACUGCCAAUUAGAUUCCACAGUUUCCUUUACAGAACUACCAAUAACAAUGGUUUGAUUGCACAAAGGCUUGUGCAACGCCAUUCAAUAAUAAGGCCCCUUGAGCUCAAACAAUGCAAACAAAGCCCUAUUUAAGACUUUUUAAAAUGUAGUUCUCGGCCAAUGAAGAAUUCAAUGGUCUUUUUGAAAGAUUUCCAAGAUCUCUGUUCAGAGUUUUAAAACAAAUAACACACUGCUUCUGUUGGGAAUGUAUACCCUCCUCUCUCUCUACUUGUCCUGAUGUUUUGCCGAGGGUAUGAGCUUCCUCAGACAGAAACAGUGAGUCUCCUCUCGGAAGAGAUGAGAAAAACAAAAGCUGGACUAUGUUAACAUUGUUUGAAAAUGGUGUGAUCAAAUUCCAACAUGAUGAAACCAGACUGAAAUCAUUGCAGCGGGGAAAACAAAUGCCCCCUCUUCAGAACAGAUAGGUGCGCUCCACAGGGGACACAGGCCCCGGUUUUGAGAAACAAACUCAUAGACACCAUGUAGGAUCUAGUCCGUGUCAGCCGCAGAAACACUGGCGUUUCCCCUUCUUCCGUGUCCUCUGAUUCUGUGACCAUUCAGUCUAGUGCAACUUUCUUAUAUAUGUUCCAGCCAGCAUUUUGCCAGCUGCAAUUGAGAUUAUUUUCCCCCACUCUAUCUUGUGCAAUAGCAGGAUAAUCUGCAUUCACACAUUUAUAAUCUAAAUUCUACUAGUCUAUCUAUGGUUCUAUUAAAUAUAUAUAUAUGUAUAUAUUAUUCCACAGGAAGG